AUAGAUAUGGUUUGUGAUUUUGUAAAUUUGAGUUGUGCAUAGAACUCCUCUCUUUCCUUCUGAUUUGAUGAAUUUUGAGUGUACUUCUCUGUACACAAGUACUGUGUGGCUUGAUUACGGUUAUUGACUGAUUUUCUGGCUUUAUUUUCUAUUUCAUUAUGAUAUUAGGCCAUGAUUUGAGAUUGUUUUGGUUGUGGCGUCAGCUUGCUUUGGUGAGAGAAAGCCGGGUCCAUGCCACCCCAGUUACAUGUACCUUAAUUAAGAAAUUAAAAAUA
rnacentral:misc_RNA from 1 species